GGUCAAAGUUCGAGUAGGGAGUUCAGGCUUGGCUCUUAGAGGCUUCAGUGAGGAGAGACCAGCGCACCAUGUCUGGAAUGCACCAGACCCUCUGAUGUUUGCCAGGACUGCCAGAGCUGCCAGUCCAGAGGGUGGCAAGAGUGUGGAACGAGCUGCCCGUGGAAGUGCUGGACGCAGGUUCAAUUGCAACAUUUAGGUGAAGCUUUGAAAGCUGUUCAUUUCCUGUACAUGGACACACGCUGACAUAAGUGACAUAAGUGACAUAAUCUGGAUUCUGAUUAUGCUAGACAACAAAGGUUUCACUGCCUGAAUAUUUUUGGGUGUACCUUACGGAUUUUGAACUGCUGUUAAUGAAAAUUACCAUGAAUUUCUCUUAUCACGCACCAUUUGUUUGAAAUUGCCUAUAUUUGUUAUAUCAGUUCA